rnacentral:rRNA from 1 species
ACGAACGCUGGCGGCGUGCCUAACACAUGCAAGUCAGGGAGAAGGAGGUAGCAAUACUUCCGGAAACCGGCGCACGGGUGAGUAACACGUAGGUAAUUUACCCUUGGGCGGGGAAUAACCACGCGAAAGCGUGGCUAAUACCGCAUAAUGCAACGAGACCGCAUGGCCUUGUUGUUAAAGAUCCGCAAGGAUCACCUGAGGAUGGACCUGCGUCCGAUUAGCUAGUUGGCGGAGAAUAGCCCACCAAGGCGACAAUCGGUAGCCGACCUGAGAGGGUGAUCGGCCACACUGGAACUGAGAUACGGUCCAGACUCCUACGGGAGGCAGCAGUGAGGAAUAUUGGUCAAUGGGCGAAAGCCUGAACCAGCAACGCCGCGUGAGGGAUGAAGGUCUAAGGAUUGUAAACCUCUGUUAGGAGGGACGAAUGGUUCCGUAAUGAACUUACGGGAUGUGACGGUACCUCCAGAGAAACGCCCGGCUAACUCCGUGCCAGCCGCCG